AUUGAACGCUGGCGGCAAGCCUAACACAUGCAAGUCGAACGAGUGGCGGACGGGUGAGUAAUGUCUGGGAAACUGCCUGAUGGAGGGGGAUAACUACUGGAAACGGUAGCUAAUACCGCAUACCAUCGGAUGUGCCCAGAUGGGAUUAGCUAGUAGGUGGGGUAAAGGCUCACCUAGGCGACGAUCCCUAGCUGGUCUGAGAGGAUGACCAGCCACACGGGAACUGGACAACGGUCAAGCCGCCAACGGGGGGCAGAAGUGGGAAAUAUUGCACAUUGGGCUCAGCCUGAUGCAGCCAUGCCGCGUGUAUGAAGAAGGCCUUCGGGUUGUAAAGUACUUUCAGCGGGGAGGCGUUACCCGCAGAAGAAGCACCGGCUAACUCCGUGCCAGCAGCCGCGGUAAUUC
rnacentral:rRNA from 1 species